rnacentral:rRNA from 1 species
GGGGAGUAACGUAAGCGAAAGACUACGCUAAUACCGCAUACGAUCUAUGGAUGAAAGACGGGGAGUCGCAAGACCUCGCGCGAUUGGAGCGGCCGAUAUCAGAUUAGGUAGUUGGUGAGGUAAAGGCUCACCAAGCCGACGAUCUGUAGCUGGUCUGAGAGGACGACCAGCCACACUGGGACUGAGACACGGCCCAGACUCCUACGGGAGGCAGCAGUGGGGAAUUUUGGACAAUGGGCGCAAGCCUGAUCCAGCUAUGCCGCGUGCAGGAUGAAGGCCUUCGGGUUGUAAACUGCUUUUGUACGGAACGAAACGGUGAGCUCUAAUACAGUUUGCUAAUGACGGUACCGUAAGAAUAAGCACCGGCUAACUACGUG